rnacentral:lncRNA from 1 species
CGCCUGCCCAGGACCGCCCUCACGGAGGCGGUGGCCACAGACUACCCAUCCAGAAGAAGUCCUUCCAUGUCAAAGAUGAGGUAUUCUUGCAGAGAGGAGGGAAGACAUCAUUGCUGUCAACCAUUUUAUUUGAUUUCAGCAUAGUGCAAUGUACAUAUUAAGGAUUCUCACUCACUAGACGUGACUGGCCAUCUGAGAGAGGGGCUCAGGCUUCAUCACACCCCACCCUUUAUCAUCGUAUUGUUCCAGGAUUUAGGGUUCCUGACUUCAAACAAUUCCCUCCUCGCUUGCCACUCUCUCCCUUUCUCCUUCCU